GGAGAGAGUGAGCUGCAUGACUCAGAGCUCAGCAGCGAGGAGACACUGUAUUCUGCAUGCAAGAGGAGCAGCAGAGGCAGUGCUAAAGGAUCGCUAAGGAGGAAUAUGGAGCAAACACAGAAGGGGCUGGAGCAGAAGUAAGCUGUCACCGGACAGGCAAAGGACGGCGUGAGGAUGGAGGCUGCCGUGCUGGCAGGCAGUGAGGAAUAGGCCAAGUGAAUCAGCUUGCUGGAGGGUGAGUUUAGGAACUUAAGUGUUUAGUAUGACUGAAGGUGGCUGAGGGAAGGUUGAGUGAAGGUUUGCAGCAAGGACUGUGGAUGGGGAGCUUCAAAGGUCAAGAGGGCUGUGUUAAUGAACGAUUGCUUCAUUUCCCACUGGAGAAGUCCAGAGUAACUAUCUCCCAGCUUAAGGGAGAAGGCAAACCAGAGGUCUGCAAAUGAGACAGAAAGCUUUUUUAAGACUGACCACGGGAGACAAAGGUGGAGAAAAAGUGACAUAAGCCACACCAAACUUAACGAUUUAAUAAAAAAAAAUGCAGAAACAGUUGAAAAAAAAGGAGGAUUAUUCAUCAUGAAGACCGGAAAUCUCAACUGUGAUACAAAUAUGUCACAAGGUACCUGCUAAAGAUUUUUGACAAGCCAAUCUGGAAAGAACUUGUGCAACUGCUUUUUUUUUAUUCUACUGGAUUUUUAAAGCUCAGACAACCUGCGUCACACGAUGGCCAUAAAGAAUGCUGCUGCCUCACGUUGACACAAGAUCCCAACAAAGUAGCCAGAGUUGACUUCUUGGAGGACAUUUGGCCAGCUAUGAAGCCCCUCGGAGACACUGGAAUGACUAAAAGGAGAAAAGCUGGAUGUUGAUGUGGAACGGCCACAUCGAAAGGAAGAAUCCAUUUCCACGAAACAAUGUGAUCGCCUUCCUCCUUUCCCUUGAGGACAAUAGAGAUGAACAUGCUGGACUGAAAUGCUACUCUGAAUCUCUGUCAGGUGAGAUUAGCUGACAUCCCUGAGGCUUAUGUUAUAAUUAUCUUGUCCUGGACUGAUUGGAGCAAUUCCUGAUCUCAGAAAAUGGCCUCGUUACAGAGAUUUGGCAGGUGGAGGACCUCUUGAGCACACACGUGAGGAGAUUCUUCAAUCAGCCUCGGUGCAAAGGAUCAUUGGACGGGUGGCGAACUUGUGCUCUUUGCUUUUGUCUCUAAGGCAGUUAAUGUCACCAGGGUGUUAAGUUAGAAACUGCCCAGUCUCUGACUGGAAUCACUUGCAUCUCAAGGCGACUCUGUUCAGCUGUGGACAAACCGGCUGUGUGUUAAUGUGGGGCACACGUUAUGGAUUAACCGUUUCCUUUUGCACAUAUGUGGGUGUGACUAUCGAUUAGCGUGUGCUCACACUGAGCGUUGAAGACGGCUGUGUCAGACUGUGUGAGCGUCUGCAUGGAUUCUCCUCGCCAGUGACAGACCUGGACCAGAACAGCAGCGGGUGGAAGGGGGAAAGGGAGGCGAAGGAAAAGGAGAAGGAGCAAGAGGAGGUGACAAAAACACAAAGGACGGAGAGUGGGGAAACGCAACGAGGAUGCUCAAAUAAAGAGAAGAAACAAAGGAGUCUUUGGCUGCCACUCUGGUGCGAUGUGUGGCACUGUGCCCUCUGGUGGUGGGGUUCUGUGAUGGUAACCAUGAUACCCGGCAGCCACUAUGUCUGCAGCGCUCACACCAGAGAGGAUGACUCAACUAAUGACCGCGAAGAGCGAAUUUUAGCUGUGCUCGGCAUCAUUGGGACCAUCCUAAAUCUGCUGGUGGUUAUAUUCGUCUACAUCUACACCUCCGUCACCUGAGGGUUCCCACAGGACCUCGACGAAAGAUGCUGGUGCCAAAGCCUCCUCCUGCCGCUGCAUCCCCCCCUCUGGAAGUAGUCACGUACUUUUAGAGGGUUUUCUUCACUGGCUGUUGACAUGCAAAGUUUAGACAUCUGCAGGAAGUCUAACUCCAUUGCAGCAUGUAGGGCAACGAUGGGGCGUUAAACCAAAACUGUGUUCUCACAUUUUAUAACUAUUCACAUCUGUAAUACCCUAGUAAUCAAGGCGGAAAAACAGGUUUUUGUUCUGAAAUUUGACUGUGAGGCCUAAUCCUUGCUGUGGAAAUGCUAAGCUUUGAGCUUUUUUCUUUAUUUUUGAAAGAGUUGAGGUCAUCACUGCCACUGGAACUGCCAGCCAAUGUUACAAUCCCAUAUGAGCAACAGGAGAGCUUUUUACUAACUGGAGAAAAUUAUAAGAUAACACCAUUACUUCUGACCAAAAACUAAACCAGUAGCAGAACGCUUUGAGUCAAAUGGCACCUAAACAUCUCCUCAAACUGUACAUUUGUGUAAUUUAAGAAAGCAUAGCCAUUCCAAAAUAUCCAUUCCUUUUCAUUUUGUGGAGUUCAAGAAUUUAGUUGUACAUGGAACUGAUGUGUCCGCACCUGAGCACACCUGAGGAGAGAUUCCUGGCUCUGCUGGGAGUCAUUGGGAUUAUCUUAAACCUGCUACUGCUUAUCUUUGUGUAUAUUUACACCUCCUUUUGAUGGAGCUUUGUAAAUAUGUAUUUCAAGUCGUCUUCUUCUUAUGGCGGCUUAUGAGAUUACUUGCACAUCUUCAGAUCAUUAACAUUUUCAUAUUGCAACCACAAUUGUAAAAAAUAAAAAAAUAAAAAAAUUGCUUGGUUCAUAAGUAAUAUCAGGUGAAUUUUAAGUGGAACUGAGCUAAUAUGAAAGUGUUGGGUAUUUUAAUGAAAAAGCAAUGAUAUUAGUGAGUUUUAACAGGGAGACAACUUUCUUUGUUUGGACUUCUCUACAGUUUCGACCUAUUCUCUACAGUUUGUGUUUUUAUGAUCCAGAACUUCAUGUGUGCUCAGUAAACUGUCUACCUAUGUUUGCAUUGCCUCAGUGAAAUAUUUUUUCACAAAAUUGGACCAAAAUUGGUAUAAACACUAGCUUUCUAUUUCUUCUACAUGCUUACUUACACUGAAAUCAGAAAAAAAAAAAUGGAACAAAAUUCUGUUGGUGACUUGAUCCAUGCAGAAAACCUGCAUAUCAUUGAAGAUCACUCUGCUAAUGUCGGGUGCCACAGAGUGACGGGUAUUUUUAUGCUGUCACGUUUCUUUGAUUGGAUUAGAGACCCAGACAUGGAGGAGCGGCAUCGGAGAGAACAGGCCCUGAACUUGAGGCAAAGCUACUUGGAUUUAGACAGCAGACAGUUAUGGCUGACCUCAAACAGCUACUAUAACAAAGUCAAAGUGGAGCGGCGGACAAAAGGAGGACAGAAAAACGCUGUGAAGGAGUCCACUAUCUGUUGCAAAACCAACGAGGGGGUUAAGAACCCAUUUCACUAUGCCGGAGCGACGUACCUAAACAGAUGUGAAUUUAGGUUUAAGCAAAGCAUAUCUAAUGUGGAAGUGGACCCAAACACAGCUGACAGGAGAGCAGCACAGACCGGGCUGAAUCUGCACUUCAUCUUGGUCGUUCUUUUCUCCACCAACAAACUAACGCCUGAGAAAACAUAAAAACUCAUCCAUCCCUGCUGCUACUUUACAAAUUGUUGUUAAGGAAACAGAUACACUAAAAAAAAAAAAACCAACUGCCCAUGUAUCUAUGUGCAAUUUAACAUGUUGGCUCAUGUGGAAAAGUGUUAAGAUUUUUGAGUAAUUCUGUUAAAUUGUUGGCACGCAGUGUACCGUCUCUCUGCAAUUUCCCCUUUUGAGUUUCUCUGGUUUACAAAUCCAGAGACCAGAAUCCCAGCGUUGAACGAAGUUUGGACUGAAAGUGACAACAAUAUAUUUUUAUAAGGUGUUGAAGGUUCAUAUGGGAACACCAUAGACAAAGAACAUUACAGAUAUUCAUGUGAAUGUUUAGAACAUAUAGCUAACUUUAGUCCCCCCCAAAAAACUGAUGCAUCUAUUUUAUACAUUUGAAUUUUCAUAAUAUUCAGAGGUAAAUUUCAAAAGAAGUCUGGAAGAUCCUCAUAAACUGCCUGUGCCUCACUUGGAUUUACUUCUAUGAACUUGUGGUUGGUUGAUUACUUGUAUAAUUACUGCUGUUUGCUGCUCUGCUCAAUGUUAAAUUUGCAGCAGCAGAGUAACAAACAUAAAUGACAGAAAAACUAAAUUUUUCAUUUCACUUGUAAGCAUUUAAGGGUGAACAAUGCCUAAAAAACCUGACAUCAUGCAGUUAGAUCUUUACAUAAUAAUCGGCAUGAAUGCCCAAUUAAUUUAGGGCUUUCACUGAUUUUAUUUGAACAGUUACUUAACCAACCUGUAAUCUUACAUGUAAUUUUAGUGAUUUCUAAAAAUAAAGUUUGGGUGCGCAUGCACUAGAUUGAAUUCAUAAAUGUACUUCAGUAAAACAUCCGGAUGCGGCCUCUGGCAGAAUUUGUGUCAAUCUUUGUUCAUGAGGAAAUCAGGAACAAAUGAGACUUACGCCAAUCAAAGAUGUAGUGCUGAGCAAGAAAGAAGCCUCGUCUGCAAAAUACCUUAAAGCAUAAAAGCAAUUUGCAUCUGCCCACAUGGAUGAGCCAGAGGCCUAUUUGAGAAAAGCUUGAGAGACUAAAUGUGUAGAAUGAUCAAAGAGUUUCAAACCCUAAAACAACGUACCACCUCUCAAGCUUCAAACUGACGGUGUAGCUGACAGUGGUACUGAUGCAUUCCUUGAUUUUAGCUCAAAUCUUCACAAAGAUGAUUGAAACUAACACGGGAUGACAGUCCCAAAUGUGCAAUCACAAGGUUCUUUAUUGUUAAAGCCAGCCAACAUUAACCAUUUUGAAGUGCCCAGUUUUGAAUACUGUUAACAGUUAGUGGACUAUGUUCAAAGAAAACAUUUUAUUCAAAUUCUUUUUCAAAGUUAAAUGCUCAAAUAACCAGAAUUAUGCCAGACGUUUGUUUCAGAAUUCAAAAAACAACGUACUAAUGGACAUUUACCCAAAUAUUAGUGUGGAUGUACGUAGAAACAUUUAAACUUCUAUGUAUAAUUUCAACUCAAUGUGGAUUAUUGAACGUCAACCCCAAAGUCAGACUUGAGCUGUUAAUCCUUGGUUUCCUAUUGAAAUAAACAGAAAAUAAUACUCUAGGAAAAUCAACAAAACGAGCAUCACGUUCAUGCUGAUGAUGUGGAUAUAAACUGCUGAUUAGGGAAUUAAAAAUCAUAAUGCUUUGAAAUCAGUCCUUUGAAAUGAUAGCUAUAGAUAUGUUUAUGUUGAGAUUGCUUUACAAUAUGGAUUUAAGUUUUGUCUUAUACACUAGGAUAACUGUGGCUAAACCGAUUCACACUGAGAUUACCAGUUUUGCUUGGUCAAUAUACUGCCUUUAAAAAUAAGCUAAAAGUUCUCCACUACUCACUAAUGUUUCAGAGAUCAAUUAGACCAUCAGUAUAACUUUGAUCAACUGUUCAUCUUUUUAGAUCACUUUGUAAUAAAGUUCUUCUUUUCUAAAUGACAACAUAACGUUGGAACAACAUGCUUCCAAAAACAUUUACGCUUCCAAUAAUUAGCGUAAAGCAAUAGCAACCAAUCUACCUACUUAAAAGGAUCUUUCAAUAGACUUAAAAAACAACGUCUGCUUAAUUUUUAUAUCAAUACUCAUGUUUCACCUUGAGCACUUUGAACUUUCAGUACUUGAAUUAUCAAAAGAGAUGGGAAAUUCAGCCUAAAACUGACAUGCAGUAUGUAACAAAGUGAAGCACUCCACUCUAAAAAAUGAUGUAGCAAAAAUUAAUAAUUGCACCUUUAUAGUGUUGACUGAUAUUGGAUACAUAUCUGCAUAUUGAUCACUUUUAAAAGCUGAUCUAUUACCAUGGCUGCAUCCACGCUGUAUCAAAAUGCAGUUCAAGUUUCCCCUCGGGACCAGUUUCAAUGUGUGCUCUGUGGACCAAUAAGAGGAGAGAGCCCUGAGGGCGAAUCCUGACCAUCUGCUGCCCAAAUAGACAGACACCAUGUGCACACAGACACACACACACACAGCAUGGGUUUCUUUUUUACCCAACUGAAAUCCUCACUUGUCACUAUUUUUAUUUUUUUUUACUAUGCAUGAAACCUUUUUCUUAUGUACCUGAAAUUUAUCGGAAAACCUAGAAAGAAGUCAAAGUAAAAAGGAUGUAACCAAACUAAGCAAAGCCUUCUCUUGAUGCAUGACAUGAUUUUCAUUUUCAAAACAUUUUGACACUGACUGCAUGAGCGAAUUCAGACAACCAAGUUGUAUAAUAUUCAUUAAUGUUGAAAUCUGGCAAAAACAAGUGCCUGGUGGGGAAAAUUUGGCCAUAACAGAUUCCUUUUUAAAGUGAAUACUAUUUUCUGCAUUCAGCCUCACAUCUCCACCCAGAGGAAAAGCCUUGAUAUGCAUGACAAGUUUUUGUCAUCUUGUCAUUUUUCAUUUAAAUGCAAACUAUUUUAUUAGUUUAUCAGAAAUGGGAAAAAAAGAGGUAGAUAAUAUUAUCCAUUUGCCAAAGUUUUAUAUAACAAUCCGAUUUUUAAAGUGUUUUUCUGGUAAAGAUGAAAUAUGUCUGCAAUAACUACCCGAUUGUUCACGUUUGCUUUCGUGAGCAAGUGAUAAAAACUAAUCAGCAAAAAGGGGAAUUUAUCAGAUGACUUGACAACAUGACGCUGUUUUUUCACUAAGCUGACAAAGAACAAAUGUUUUGAGAUUUGAUGUACUUUCAUAUGUAAAGGUGUAAAUAUGUACAUGUAUAGUUACAGAGAUGUCCAUAAAAAUAAAAGUUAUUCUGUCAAAACA